UUUUUCACAUUAUUUUUUUGUCAAACACCUUGCAAGCAUCAAUGUAAUUGAUUCAAAACUAAUUUUUUAUAUGUAUUGACACAAUUCACUCAACUUCAACAAUUUUAUUUUCAUACAUGUUUCCAAUCAAAUUAAUAAAAUCGUCAAAAAGAAACUUCAUAAAUGUUAAUUAUACAUUAUGAGAUUUAAACUAAAUCUAAUCAUGAAAUUCAAACAAAAAUGAGAUGGAUAAUGAGCUAUAAUCAUGGAAUCCAAAACAUAGAAAUACCUGUAAUUUUGUUUGUGUUUUUGUGAAAGAUCUCCUCGAUUUUUUUUUCCAGAUUUUUCAAUGUUUUUGUGGAUGGUUUCCUCGAUUUGAAGAAUGAACAAACUUUGUUUAUGUAUUUGUGGAAGAUUUCCUCUUUUUCCUUUCAAUUUUCCUUU
rnacentral:lncRNA from 1 species